CGGUCCAGAGGGAACCCAGGCUCCCAGUUACUCAGGAGAAGGCAUUGCACCCUAGCCGAGCAGGUGGAUGACAGAGUCCAGCUCCCUGGGGACAAUCUCUUUCCUGGAGCUGCUGGGGGGGACAGGCCUGAGAGCCCCUCGCAGGACAGGCAGGGGUCAGCCGGCAGUAGUUGGGCUGGUCUGGCCCACUGGGGCCUCUUUUGGGGAAGAGAGUGUUUCCUCAUGCCUUGAUGGGAGCCACUGAGCUUUCAAUUUUUUUUUUUUUUUUUUUAAAUACAGAGUCUCGCUCUGUUGCCCAGGCUAGAGUACAGUGGUGCAAUCUUGAUUCACUGCAACCUCCACCUCCUGGGUUCAAGCGAUUCUCCNNNNNNNNNNGAGCUCCUGACCUCAAGUGAUCCACCCGCCUCAGCCUCCCAAAGGGCCGGGAUUACAGGCAUGAGCCACCAUGCCCAGCCUGAGCUCUCAAAUUCUUAAGACACCCAGAUAAUGGCCACACCAGGAAGGUCCUAGACCACUCCCU
rnacentral:lncRNA from 1 species